rnacentral:rRNA from 1 species
GACGUAGGGCGCAAGCGUUGUCCGGAUUUAUUGGGCGUAAAGAGCUCGUAGGCGGCGUGUCGCGUCGACUGUGAAACCCGCAGCUCAACUGCGGGCUGCAGUCGAUACGGGGCAGGGCUAGAGUUUCGGUAGGGGAGACUGGGAAAUUCCUGGUGUAGCGGGUGAAAUGCGCAGAUAUCAGGGAGGGAAACACCCGGGUGGGCGAAAGGGCGGGUCUCUGGGCCCCGAUACUGACGCUGGAGGGAGCGAAAAGCGUGG